AUUGAACGCUGGCGGCAGGCUUAACACAUGCAAGUCGAACGGUAACAUAAAGAAGCUUGCUUCUUUGAUGACGAGUGGCGGACGGGUGAGUAAUGCUUGGGAAUCUAGCUUAUGGAGGGGGAUAACUACGGGAAACUGUAGCUAAUACCGCGUAAUAUCGAAAGAUUAAAGUGUGGGACCUUCAGGCCAUAUGCCAUAGGAUGAGCCCAAGUGGGAUUAGGUAGUUGGUGAGGUAAAGGCUCACCAAGCCGACGAUCUCUAGCUGGUCUGAGAGGAUGACCAGCCACACUGGGACUGAGACACGGCCCAGACUCCUACGGGAGGCAGCAGUGGGGAAUAUUGCGCAAUGGGGGCAACCCUGACGCAGCCAUGCCGCGUGAAUGAAGAAGGCCUUCGGGUUGUAAAGUUCUUUCGGUAGCGAGGAAGGCACUUAGUUUAAUAAACUAGGUGAUUGACGUUAACUACAGAAGAAGCACCGGCUAACUCCGUG
rnacentral:rRNA from 1 species